GGAAAGGUGAAAAGCACCCCGGAAGGGGAGUGAAACAGUUCCUGAAACCGUGUGCCUACAAGUAGUUAGAGCCCGUUAAUGGGUGAUAGCGUGCCUUUUGUAGAAUGAACCGGCGAGUUACGAUUUGUUGCAAGGUUAAGCGGAAAAAGCGGAGCCGUAGCGAAAGCGAGUCUGAAUAGGGCGCAUAAGUAACAGGUCGUAGACCCGAAACCAGGUGAUCUACCCAUGUCCAGGAUGAAGGUAAGGUAAUACUUACUGGAGGUCCGAACCCACGCACGUUGAAAAGUGCGGGGAUGAGGUGUGGGUAGCGGAGAAAUUCCAAUCGAACUUGGAGAUAGCUGGUUCUCUCCGAAAUAGCUUUAGGGCUAGCCUCGAGGUAAAGAGUCAUGGAGGUAGAGCACUGUUUGGACUAGGGGCCCUUCUCGGGUUACCGAAUUCAGAUAAACUCCGAAUGCCAUGUACUUAUACUCGGGAGUCAGACUGCGAGUGAUAAGAUCCGUAGUCGAAAGGGAAACAGCCCAGACCACCAGUUAAGGUCCCCAAAUAUAUGUUAAGUGGAAAAGGAUGUGGGGUUGCUUAGACAACCAGGAUGUUGGCUUAGAAGCAGCCACCAUUGAAAGAGUGCGUAAUAGCUCACUGGUCGAGUGACCCCGCGCCGAAAAUGUACCGGGGCUAAACAUAUUACCGAAACUGUGGAUGAACCUCUUUAGAGGUUCGUGGUAGGAGAGCGUUCUAAGGGCGGUGAAGUCAGACCGGAAGGACUGGUGGAGCGCUUAGAAGUGAGAAUGCCGGUAUGAGUAGCGAAAGAAGGGUGAGAAUCCCUUCCACCGAAUAUC
rnacentral:rRNA from 1 species